rfam:Drosophila sechellia strain Rob3c scaffold_0 genomic scaffold, whole genome shotgun sequence.
UCGUGCUCAACGGGUAAGUGGUGUAGAUGAAACAAAUUUACCAACAAUAUUUUUGUUGGAUUGUUUCACCUAUCGUUCCAUUUGCAGCUACGA